CACCCAUAUUAUAACUCUUAUAUUACUAAAAUAUAUCUAUUUCAGAAAGUGGUUACCUUUUGCCAACGCAACUUUCCGCCAAAACUACUGAUAAAGAAAAAUCUUUAGAUCACACCAAAACACAGACUACAGAAGCAUCAACUGAAGCUUACUAUACAGAAGUUGCAGGAGAAAUGGCUGCAAAGGCGGAACCAAUAACAACUGAUCCAGAACAAGUCUCAAGUGAGGCAGAAUCUUUAUUACAUGACGUGCCAUCUUCACAACCAAGUGUGCCACCAGGCGUAGAUAUCUGAAGUGUC